AAGUCGUAACAAGGUUUCCGUAGGUGAACCUGCGGAAGGAUCAUUCACACAUAAAAAAUCCACUUUGAUAUAUAUGUUAUAGCAAUAUGGCAUUAAUAUUAUUGUGGUAAACCCAAAUAUAAAACAAACCCCAAAACGUCAUUACACCCACGUCAUUACACCCCCGUAUUAUACAAGGCUCGCUUAAAGAUACCAUAUAUACCCAUGAUAUGGUGCUUGCUUUGUAUGGUACACCCCCACAUUACCUGGCAUGGUUAUAAAACUCCUGGACUUCGUGUGCUUCGGUAACCGAGUAGGGUAUGUGGGUUAUAAACUUUAUUAACCAAAAUCUUUUAACCUUUAAAACUUUAUUAACCUUUUAUAUAAUUAACUUUAAAUACACAACCCUUUGCAAUGGAUAUCUUGGUUCUC
rnacentral:misc_RNA from 1 species